rnacentral:rRNA from 1 species
GAUUAACGCUGGCGGCGUGCAUAACACAUGCAAGUCGAACGAUGAAACUUUACUUACUUCUUCGGAAUGAUUUAAAGCGGAUUAGUGGCGAACGGGUGAGUAACGCGUGAGUAACCUGCCUUACACAAGGGGAUAGCCUCUGGAAACGGAGAAUAAUACCCUAUGAAACCAGACAAUCGCAUGAUAAUCUGGUCAAAAUGUUUAGUGGUGUAAGAUGGACUUGCGUCUGAUUAGCUAGUUGGUGAGAUAAAAGCUCACCAAGGCAACGAUCAGUAGCCGGCUUGAGAGAGUGUACGGACACAUUGGGACUGAGACACGGCCCAGACUCCUACGGGAGGCAGCAGUGGGGAAUUUUGCACAAUGGGGGAAACCCUGAUGCAGCGACGCCGCGUGAUUUAGAAGGCCUUCGGGUUGUAAAAAUCUUUUGUAUAGGAAGAAAAUGACAGUACUAUACGAAUAAGGUCCGGCUAAUUACGUG